rnacentral:rRNA from 1 species
GGAUCCAGACUUUGAUUCUGGCUCAGGACGAACGCUGGCGGCGCGCCUAACACAUGCAAGUCGAACGAGCGAGAGAGAGCUUGCUUUCUCGAGCGAGUGGCGAACGGGUGAGUAACGCGUGAGGAACCUGCCUCAAAGAGGGGGACAACAGUUGGAAACGACUGCUAAUACCGCAUAAGCCCACAGGUCGGCAUCGACCAGAGGGAAAAGGAGCAAUCCGCUUUGAGAUGGCCUCGCGUCCGAUUAGCUAGUUGGUGAGGUAACGGCCCACCAAGGCAACGAUCGGUAGCCGGACUGGGAGGUUGAACGGCCACAUUGGGACUGAGACACGGCCCAGACUCCUACGGGAGGCAGCAGUGGGGAAUAUUGCACAAUGGGGGAAACCCUGAUGCAGCGACGCCGCGUGGAGGAAGAAGAUCUUCGGAUUGUAAACUCCUGUUGUUGAGGAAGAUAAUGACGGUACUCAACAAGGAAGUGACGGCUAACUACGUGCCAGCAGCCGCGGUAAAACGUAGGUCACAAGCGUUGUCCGGAAUUACUGGGCGUAAAGGGAGCGCAGGCGGGAGAACAAGUUGGAAGUGAAAUCCAUGGGCUCAACCCAUGAACUGCUUUCAAAACUGUUUUUCUUGAGUAGUGCAGAGGUAGGCGGAAUUCCCGGUGUAGCGGUGGAAUGCGUAGAUAUCGGGAGGAACACCAGUGGCGAAGGCGGCCUACUGGGCACCAACUGACGCUGAGGCUCGAAAGUGUGGGUAGCAAACAGGAUUAGAUACCCUGGUAGUCCACACCGUAAACGAUGAUUACUAGGUGUUGGAGGAUUGACCUCUUCAGUGCCGCAGUUAAC